CUACGGGACGCUCCAGUGGGGAAUAUUGCACAAUGGACGAAAGUCUGAUGCAGCAACGCCGCGUGGAGGAUGACACAUUUCGGUGCGUAAACUCCUUUUAUAUAGGAAGAUAAUGACGGUACUAUAUGAAUAAGCACCGGCUAACUCCGUGCCAGCAGCCGCGGUAAUACGGAGGGUGCAAGCGUUACUCGGAAUCACUGGGCGUAAAGAGCGUGUAGGCGGGUAGUUAAGUCAGAAGUGAAAUCCAAUAGCUCAACUAUUGAACUGCUUUUGAAACUGAUUACCUAGAAUAUGGGAGAGGUAGAUGGAAUUUCUGGUGUAGGGGUAAAAUCCGUAGAGAUCAGAAGGAAUACCGAUUGCGAAGGCGAUCUACUGGAACAUUAUUGACGCUGAGACGCGAAAGCGUGGGGAGCAAACAGGAUUAGAUACCCUUGUAGUC
rnacentral:rRNA from 1 species